rnacentral:rRNA from 1 species
GACGAACGCUGGCGGCGCUCCUAACACAUGCAAGUCGAACGAGCGAGAGAGAGCUUGCUUUCUCGAGCGAGUGGCGAACGGGUGAGUAACGCGUGAGGAACCUGCCUCAAAGAGGGGGACAACAGUUGGAAACGACUGCUAAUACCGCAUAAGCCCACAGCUCGGCAUCGAGCAGAGGGAAAAGGAGUGAUCCGCUUUGAGAUGGCCUCGCGUCCGAUUAGCUGGUUGGUGAGGUAACGGCCCACCAAGGCGACGAUCGGUAGCCGGACUGAGAGGUUGAACGGCCACAUUGGGACUGAGACACGGCCCAGACUCCUACGGGAGGCAGCAGUGGGGAAUAUUGCACAAUGGGGGAAACCCUGAUGCAGCGACGCCGCGUGGAGGAAGAAGGUCUUCGGAUUGUAAACUCCUGUUGUUGAGGAAGAUAAUGACGGUACUCAACAAGGAAGUGACGGCUAACUACGUGCCAGCAGCCGCGGUAAAACGUAGGUCACAAGCGUUGUCCGGAAUUACUGGGUGUAAAGGGAGCGCAGGCGGGAAAGCAAGUUGGAAGUGAAAUCCAUGGGCUCAACCCAUGAACUGCUUUCAAAACUGUUUUUCUUGAGUAGUGCAGAGGUAGGCGGAAUUCCCGGUGUAGCGGUGGAAUGCGUAGAUAUCGGGAGGAACACCAGUGGCGAAGGCGGCCUACUGGGCACCAACUGACGCUGAGGCUCGAAAGUGUGGGUAGCANACAGG